rnacentral:lncRNA from 1 species
AUCAAUUAUUGGUAAUAUUAAUUAUUUGGAAAACAAAAGGUCCUGGAAUGGAGUAUUUUUUAAUUAACAGCAUUGUCCUAUAUUAGUUAUAAAUAAAGUUGAAUUCUUUGAUUCGCUGUUUUACGUCAUGCCCGCUAACAAAUUGAAACUUAUUUUUAGUCCAAAUUUUUAGUAUUCGUAUUGUUAUCUUAGAAAGUCUUACGGAUUAAAAUACUACAAUAGGUAACAAUUUGACAAUUUAGU